rnacentral:rRNA from 1 species
AUACGUAGGUGACAAGCGUUAUCCGGAUUUACUGGGCGUAAAGGGCGUGUAGGCGGUCUUGCAAGUCAGAAGUGAAAUUCCUGAGCUCAACUCGGGCGCUGCUUCUGAAACUGCAGGACUUGAGUGCUGGAGGGGAUAGCGGAAUUCCUAGUGGAGCGGUAAAAUGCGCAGAUAUUAGGAAGAACACCGGUGGCGAAGGCGGCUAUCUGGACAGGAACUGACGCUGAGGCGCGAAAGCGUGGGGAGCAAACAGGAUUAGAUACCCUGUUAGUCCACGCCGUAAACGAUGAAUGCUAGGUGUGGGUGUCGAGAGGCAUCCGUGCCGGAGUUAACGCGAUAAGCAUUCCGCCUGGGGAGUACGAUCGCAAGAUUGAAACUCAAAUGAAUUGACGGGG